rnacentral:rRNA from 1 species
GACCUGAGCUCAGGCAAGAUUACCCGCUGAACUUAAGCAUAUCAAUAAGCGGAGGAAAAGAAACUAACAAGGAUUCCCCUAGUAACGGCGAGCGAACCGGGAAUAGCCCAACUUGAAAAUCUCCCUCUGGAGAAUUGUAGUCUAUAGAAGCGCCCUCUGCGACGGUCAGAGCCCAAGUUCGCUGGAAAGCGACGUCAGAGAGGGUGAGAACCCCGUCGGCUCUGUACUUGUUGCCCCACGAGGUGCUUUCCACGAGUCGGGUUGUUUGGGAAUGCAGCCCAAAAUGGGAGGUAAAUCCCUUCUA